rnacentral:rRNA from 1 species
AUUGAACGCUGGCGGCAGGCCUAACACAUGCAAGUCGAGCGGCAGCGGAAAGUAGCUUGCUACUUUGCCGGCGAGCGGCGGACGGGUGAGUAAUGUCUGGGAAACUGCCUGAUGGAGGGGGAUAACUACUGGAAACGGUAGCUAAUACCGCAUCACGUCGCAAGACCAACGAGGGAGACCUUCGGGCCUCCUGCCAUCAGAUGUGGCCAGAUGGGAGUAGCUAGUAGGUGGGGUAACGGCUCACCUAGGCGACGAUCCCUAGCUGGUCUGAGAGAAUGACCGGCCACACUGGAACUGAGACACGGUCCAGACUCCUACGGGAGGCAGCAGUGGGGAAUAUUGCACAAUGGGCGCAAGCCUGAUGCAGCCAUGCCGCGUGUAUGAAGAAGGCCUUCGGGUUGUAAAGUACUUUCAGCGGGGAGGAGGGUGUUGAGGUUAAUAACCUCAGCAAUUGACGUUACCCGCAGAAGAAGCACCGGCUAACUCCGUGCCAGCAGCCGCCGUAAUAC